GACGAACGCUGGCGGCGUGCUUAACACAUGCAAGUCGAACGGAAAGGCCCUGCUUUUGUGGGGUGCUCGAGUGGCGAACGGGUGAGUAACACGUGAGUAACCUGCCCUUGACUUUGGGAUAACUUCAGGAAACUGGGGCUAAUACCGGCUAGGAGCUCCUGCUGCAUGGUGGGGGUUGGAAAGUUUCGGCGGUUGGGGAUGGACUCGCGGCUUAUCAGCUUGUUGGUGGGGUAGUGGCUUACCAAGGCUUUGACGGCUAGCCGGCCUGAGAGGUUGGACGGCGACAUUGGGACUGAGAUACGGCCCAGACUCCAACGGGAGGCAGAAGUGGGGAAUAUUGCACAAUGGGCGGGAGCCUGAUGCAGCAACGCCGCGUGCGGGAUGACGGCCUUCGGGUUGUAAACCGCUUUCGCCUGUGACGAAGCGUGAGUGACGGUAAUGGGUAAAGAAGCACCGGCUAACUACGUG
rnacentral:rRNA from 1 species